rnacentral:snRNA from 1 species
ACCCUCUGGGUUUUCUUCCGGAUUGAGGAAAAUCUUUGCCUUUUAAUAAGAUUUUCAUGGAGAGAAAUCUUUAUGAGUUGGUUAUCAAAUUUUUUUCAGGUCUUAAGUAAGGCUA